rnacentral:rRNA from 1 species
GACGAACGCUGGCGGCGUGCUUAACACAUGCAAGUCGAACGGAAAGGCCCUGCUUGCAGGGUACUCGAGUGGCGAACGGGUGAGUAACACGUGGGUGAUCUGCCCUGCACUUCGGGAUAAGCUUGGGAAACUGGGUCUAAUACCGGAUAGGAGCCAUCUUUAGUGUGGUGGUUGGAAAGUUUUUUCGGUGUAGGAUGAGCUCGCGGCCUAUCAGCUUGUUGGUGGGGUAAUGGCCUACCAAGGCGGCGACGGGUAGCCGGCCUGAGAGGGUGUACGGCCACAUUGGGACUGAGAUACGGCCCAGACUCCUACGGGAGGCAGCAGUGGGGAAUAUUGCACAAUGGGCGCAAGACUGAUGCAGCGACGCCGCGUGGGGGAUGAAGGCCUUCGGGUUGUAAACUCCUUUCGCUAGGGACGAAGCUUUUUUGUGACGGUACCUAGAUAAGAAGCACCGGCUAACUACGUG